GACGAACGCUGGCGGCGUGCUUAACACAUGCAAGUCGAACGGAAAGGCCCUGCUUUUGUGGGGUGCUCGAGCGGCGAACGGGGGAGUAAGACGUGAGUAACCUGCCCUUGACUGUGGGAUAACUGCAGGAAACUGGGGCUAAUACCGGAAAGGAGCCCCUGCUGCAUGGAGGGGGUUGGAAAGUGUGGGCGGUGGGGGAUGGACCCGCGUCUUAUCAGCUUGUUGGGGGGGUAGUGGCUCACCCAGGCGUUGAGGGGUAGGCGCGCUGAGAGGGGGGGCGGCGACAUUAGGACACUGAGACGGCCCCCAUUCCUACGCGGGAGAGCAGUGGGGAAUAUAGUGGACUAGGCGGACGCCUGAUGCCGAAACGCCGCGUGCGGGAUAACGGGCUUCGGGUUGUAAACAGCUUUCGCAUGAGACGAGGCGAGAGUGACGGUAAUGGGUAAAGAAGCACCGGCUAACUACGUG
rnacentral:rRNA from 1 species